GUGGGGAAUUUUGGACAAUGGGCGCAAGCCUGAUCCAGCAAUGCCGCGUGUGUGAAGAAGGCCUUCGGGUUGUAAAGCACUUUUGGCAGGAAAGAAAUAGUGCGUGCUAAUACCAUGCGCGAAUGACGGUACCUGCAGAAUAAGCACCGGCUAACUACGUGCCAGCAGCCGCGGUAAGACGUAGGGUGCAAGCGGUAAUCGGAAUUACUGGGCGUAAAGCGUGCGCAGGCGGUUUUGUAAGACAGGUGUGAAAUCCCCGGGCUCAAACUGGGAACGGCACUUGUGACUGCAAGGCUAGAGUGUGUCAGAGGGAGGUGGAAUUCCGCGUGUAGCAGUGAAAUGCGUAGAGAUGCGGGAGAACACCGAUGGCGAAGGCAGCCUCCUGGGAUAACACUGACGCUCAGGCACGAAAGCGUGGGGAGCAAACAGGAUUAGAAACCCUAGUAGUCC
rnacentral:rRNA from 1 species